UGUAACACGGCACACGGUAUUAUUUUAACUUCCUCUGCGAAUCGGGUGUACAGUAUUUUGAAGAUAAAACAAAUCCUCCACUCGUGUCCACGUUUAUCACGUCAGAUUACCAACCAUUAUGAUAUUCACGUAAUCGCUCCUCGGUUGUCGCUACACGAGGACGACCUGCAUUCUCGUUACACGUAAACGAUAAUUGGCUCGCGAUCUGCCUCUCAGUUUACGAUUAUCCGAUCAGGGUGCAGGAUCACCGUGUCGAUGUUGGACGGUUUCGUAAACAGGAUUCUAAACCGAGCGACGAAGUCUCACGCGUUGACAGGCUUCCGCGGACUCCAUUGUUGGCCUUUGCACCGGACGCGGAGAAAAUUUGUUCGAGAAGGAAAGCAUCGUUUUCCCUCGUGGAAAUACUCGUAUGGAAGGAUCUUAACCGUACGGUGGAGCCACGUAGGUGACGAGUGUAUUCCCACGUGUACGUAAGUAGUAAAUACACGCGCGUCGCUACCGACACACUCGUGCAACCUAUCGAUUAAUAUUUCCCGACCCAUUCAUUCGAACGAUAAUCAUUUAUUCAUUGCCUUUCGCUUGUUACGGUUACAUCGGCGAAGGAAACCUGUAAUAUAUCGUCAUUUCGCGAUUACGCCUGAAACCGUACAAGCGUCGUGCAGCGUCGUGCCGAGGUCACCAGUGUUUUCAAUUAAUAUUUCCGACGGUGCAUUCCUUGGUACACGAAAUAAGUUCGGCAUUCGGUUUCUGUUAUAAGAUGUGAAGAUUAAGUCGUGUCGCUUCAGUCGUACGCGGUCCGUGGUGCGGUCAACGUCGCUCUCAGUGCGAGCCGAACAUCUUUGGCCAGCGGUGCCAAAGUUCAAGAUACGAUGGCGCUGCUUCUACGAGACAAGGAAGGAAAUACUGUGCGACGAGGACAGCCAUAUUACAGGCCCAUCUAGCGGCGGUGCGGGCGUACUAUUUGCGCCAUCUUGUGACUGUACAGGAGUACUAUUUGGCGAGCUUCAACGUUUUAUCCUAGAUGGCGCUGAUCAGCGGAAUGCCAAUGUUAAACUGGUGUAUUUUAGCUGGAAUUUGGCGAGCUGGAACUUAGACGAAUCUGCUUGAGUUGGAGCAAGAACUCAUGAGGAAUCUAUAAUUAAUAGUUAAAUUUGUUACUAC